rnacentral:snRNA from 1 species
GUGCUCACUUUGGCAGCACAUGUACUGACAUUGGAACGAUACAGAGACAAUUGGCAUGGCCCCUGCGCAAGGAUGACACACAAAUCCGUAAAGUGGUCCAUUUUUAA